GAUGAACGCUGGCGGCGUGCCUAAUACAUGCAAGUCGAGCGAACAGACGAGGAGCUUGCUCCUCUGACGUUAGCGGCGGACGGGUGAGUAACACGUGGAUAACCUACCUAUAAGACUGGGAUAACUUCGGGAAACCGGAGCUAAUACCGGAUAAUAUAUUGAACCGCAUGAUUCAAUAGUGAAAGACGGUUUUGCUGUCACUUAUAGAUGGAUCCGCGCCGCAUUAGCUAGUUUGUAAGGUAACGGCUUACCAAGGCAACGAUGCGUAGCCGACCUGAGAGGGUGAUCGGCCACACUGGAACUGAGACACGGUCCAGACUCCUACGGGAGGCAGCAGUAGGGAAUCUUCCGCAAUGGGCGAAAGCCUGACGGAGCAACGCCGCGUGAGUGAUGAAGGUCUUCGGAUCGUAAAACUCUGUUAUUAGGGAAGAACAAAUGUGUAAGUAACUAUGCACGUCUUGACGGUACCUAAUCAGAAAGCCACGGCUAACUACGUG
rnacentral:rRNA from 1 species